AUUGCCUCAGUAACGGCGAGUGAAGCGGCAACAGCUCAAAUUUGAAAUCUGGCCCCAGGCCCGAGUUGUAAUUUGCAGAGGAUGCUUUUGGUGAGGUGCCUUCCGAGUUCCCUGGAACGGGACGCCAUAGAGGGUGAGAGCCCCGUCUGGUCGGACACCGAGCCUCUGUAAAGCUCCUUCGACGAGUCGAGUAGUUUGGGAAUGCUGCUCUAAAUGGGAGGUAUAUGUCUUCUAAAGCUAAAUACCGGCCAGAGACCGAUAGCGCACAAGUAGAGUGAUCGAAAGAUGAAAAGCACUUUGAAAAGAGAGUUAAAUAGCACGUGAAAUUGUUGAAAGGGAAGCGUUUAUGACCAGACUUGGCCCGGUUGAUCAUCCAGCGUUCUCGCUGGUGCACUCUGCCGGUCCAGGCCAGCAUCAGUUCGUCGCGGGGGACAAAGGCUUCGGGAAUGUGGCUCCUCCGGGAGUGUUAUAGCCCGUUGCGUAAUACCCUGCGGUGGACUGAGGUCCGCGCUUCUGCAAGGAUGCUGGCGUAAUGGUCAUCAACGACCCGUCUUGAAACACGGACCAAGGAGUCGUCUUCGUAUGCGAGUGUUCGGGUGUAAAACCCCUACGCGUAAUGAAAGUGAACGCAGGUGAGAGCUUCGGCGCAUCAUCGACCGAUCCUGAUGUUCUCGGAUGGAUUUGAGUAAGAGCAUACGGGGCCGGACCCGAAAGAAGGUGAACUAUGCCUGUAUAGGGUGAAGCCAGAGGAAACUCUGGUGGAGGCUCGCAGCGGUUCUGACGUGCAAAUCGAUCGUCAAAUAUGGGCAUGGGGGCGAAAGA
rnacentral:rRNA from 1 species